rnacentral:misc_RNA from 1 species
AAUUCUCAAAACCCUUUCUUUUGGUCAUUUUCGACCGCGGAAAGGAUUUUGGACUUGGAGGCCUUUUGCUGGUUUCGCCUUGAAGCCAGCUCCUCCCAAAUGUAUUAGUGGGGUCUGCAUUGUCGGUCCUUGGCGUGAUAAGUUGCUUCUACGUCUUGGAUUUUUGGCGCUGUACACCUGCUUCUAACCGUCUCAUUGACAACGAUGGUGUUCCGGUCGCCGCCGAUUUUUCGGUGGGAGGCUUGACCCACGAAACAAA